GAUGAACGCUGGCGGCGUGCCUAAUACAUGCAAGUCGAGCGAACAGACGAGGAGCUUGCUCCUCUGACGUUAGCGGCGGACGGGUGAGUAACACGUGGAUAACCUACCUAUAAGACUGGGAUAACUUCGGGAAACUGGAGCUAAUACCGGAUAAUAUAUUGAACCGCAUGGUUCAAUAGUGAAAGACGGUUUUGCUGUCACUUAUAGAUGGAUCCGCGCCGCAUUAGCUAGUUGGUAAGGUAACGGCUUACCAAGGCAACGAUGCGUAGCCGACCUGAAAGGGUGAUCGGCCACACUGGAACUGAGACACGGUCCAGACUCCUACGGGAGGCAGCAGUAGGGAAUCUUCCGCAAUGGGCGAAAGCCUGACGGAGCAACGCCGCGUGAGUGAUGAAGGUCUUCGGAUCGUAAAACUCUGUUAUUAGGGAAGAACAAAUGUGUAAGUAACUAUGCACGUCUUGACGGUACCUAAUCAGAAAGCCACGGCUAACUACGUG
rnacentral:rRNA from 1 species